AUAGCAACAGCAGCGUAGCUGAACAUCUUACGGAUGGCCCAGGGCUCCAAAGGCUCGUUUCCUAAGUGAGAGAGAGCCUGGCUGAAGCUGUAUUACCAUUCAUUCUCCAGCCUCCGAAGUCUCAAAGCAUCACUUCCACCAUACUCUAACUGUCAAGACAAACACAAAGGCCCAGAAACUGCCAGACUGUCUUCUGAAGUGGCUAUAAUAUUUACACUCCCAUCAGCAGUGUAGAAGGGGUCUCACUAUGUUGUCUGGAGUGCUGUGGUGGAGUGGAGUGGCUAUUCACAGAGCCUGUUCUGCUGGGACACAGAAUCACUUGCUCCAUCUCAUACAUUGAUGAUGAUUAAUUUGUAUGUGUACCUUCCAAAAAAGAUGGUUGUGUUUGAAUGGAGGCCUUCUGGACAGGAAAAUAUGGAGAGUGCGUGCUUUGGAUUCAAGACUGGGAAUGAGGGGACCAGAAACCUAUUCUGUGGCUGUUUCUUGUUAGGACUUUCCUAAGCCUCUGGAAAAGUGCAAAGUACAAUUAACAUUUGAGUCUGUCUGAGUCAUGAAGAAAUGGAGAUUACUGAAAAUAAUUCAUUUUGGUAUCUUCUUACAUCCUGAGAGACUAAUCUUUCCAAGUUCAUCUGAGGCUCCUCUUCUCCAUGACAACCUCAUCCAGGGAUUUCUUCCUGUCCUGGUGUUUUAUGACAUGUGGAAGGGGACUGUAGCAGGUGAUCUCCAAAGUCUCUGGAGACUUACUAAUGUGCAUCCUCAUCUCGCUUGUAAGGAUAAUAGCCUUCCUCCAAACCUCACACACUUUUGGAGGAGAUCACUUUUUUUAAAGUGCAUGGAAAUGUUUUGAAACAGUGAAAUCUAUAAUGAUAGGUUUCAUAAUUCUAACAUCCACACCAUAUGAAUCACAUCCUUCCUGAGAUAAUGAGCACACAAUUGCCUGGAUACCUGAAGGAAUGGAGACAGCGGCAGAAAACACUGCAGAGAGGUGGAAACAUCCGUUAAUAUUUUAAAAUCCCAUUACUGCUACCAACAAUAAUAAUGGAUGCAUAGAAAUAGAUCUGGAUUAGCUGAGCUUGAAACAGUCCAUCUCACACACACACAAAAGAAUUUCAGAUACAGUGAACCCACAUGUUGAAGCUUUCUAGUAUAAUAAAAAUUUCAACUGUUCUGUUGAAUCAUCUGCCUGAUUGGAGGCUACAGAAAAGAUGUCAUCUUAGGAGUGCUUGCUCUGAGUGAGGCUCAUCUUCAAAUCUGAAUGACCACAAGGAGAUUUGAUUAUACAUGUGAACACCUCAGAAGGCACAGCCCACCCAGAAGGCAGACAGAAGAAGCUGCCAGGAAGACUGUGAAAUCUUCAUGCCCAAGGAUCCCUAAAAUUAGGAGCAACAACCACUUGGCUCAGACGGUUUAUGGAGGCAAAGGUUUGGAUGGGAUUAGAGAUUUCUAAAUGUGAGUUCGUGUCCUCUGCCAGACCACCUUACUUCCACCAUUCCUCAGCAAAUCAAGAAAAACAGGAGAAAAGACAUGCCUUUCCAUAAGUUAAAUCUAUUCUGUUUUAAUUCUAUAUUAUAUCUGCUGUACAACUUCUUUUGUUUGUAACACCAUAUUGUUGCUAGUAACUGGAAAUUAAUUUUCACAUGCCUCAGCUUAGAAAAAUAAAAAGCAGCCCUGCAUCAAUCCCAA
ensembl:lncRNA LINC00635 long intergenic non-protein coding RNA 635